CCUACGGGGGGCUGCAGUGGGGAAUAUUGCACAAUGGGGGAAACCCUGAUGCAGCGACGCCGCGUGAGUGAAGAAGUAUUUCGGUAUGUAAAGCUCUGUCAGCAGGGAAGAAAAUGACGGUACCUGACCAAGAAGCCCCGUCUAACUACGUGCCAGCAGCCGCGGUAAUACGUAGGGGGCCAGCGUUAUCCGGAUUUACUGGGUGUAAAGGGGGCGCAGUCGGCGAUGCAAGCCAGGAGUGAAAGCCCGGGGCCCAACCCCGGGACUGCUCUUGGAACUGGGUGGCUGGAGUGCAGGAAGGGCAGGCGGAAUUCGUGGUGUAGCGGUGAAAUGCGUAGAUAUCAGGAGGAACACCGGUGGCGAAGGCGGCCUGCUGGACUGCAACUGACGUUGAGGCCCGAAAGCGUGGGGAGCAAACAGGAUUAGAUACCCUUGUAGUC
rnacentral:rRNA from 1 species